AGAGUUUGAUUAUGGCUCAGGAUGAACGCUAGCGGCAGGCUUAACACAUGCAAGUCGAGGGGCAGCGAGGAGUAGCAAUACUCGUGUCGGCGACCGGGCGAAAGGGUGAGUAACGCGUGAGCAACAUGCCCGUGGAGGGGGAUAGUCAUUGGAAACGAUGCGUAAUACCCCGUAACAACAGAGACCGCAUGAUCUUUGUUUGAAAGAUUUAUCGUCCACGGAUUGGCUCGCGUACCAUUAGCUAGUUGGCGGGGUAACGGCCCACCAAGGCGACGAUGGUUAGGGGUUCUGAGAGGAAGGUCCCCCACAUUGGAACUGAGACACGGUCCAGACUCCUACGGGAGGCAGCAGUGAGGAAUAUUGGACAAUGGCCGGGAGGCUGAUCCAGCCAUGCCGCGUGCGGGAAGGACGGCCCUAUGGGUUGUAAACCGCUUUUUGUUGGGGAGCAAUAAGUUCUACGUGUAGGAUGAUGAGAGUACCCAGCGAAUAAGCAUCGGCUAACUCCGUGCCAGCCGCAGC
rnacentral:rRNA from 1 species